GACGAACGCUGGCGGCGCGCCUAACACAUGCUAGUCGAACGAGCGAGAGAGAGCUUGCUUUCUCGAGCGAGUGGCGAACGGGUGAGUAACGCGUGAGGAACCUGCCUCAAAGAGGGGGACAACAGUUGGAAACGACUGCUAAUACCGCAUAAGCCCACGGCUCGGCAUCGAGCAGGGGGAAAAGGAGCAAUCCGCUUUGAGAUGGCCUCGCGUCCGAUUAGCUAGUUGGUGGGGUAACGGCCCACCAAGGCGACGAUCGGUAGCCGGACUGAGAGGUUGAACGGCCACAUUGGGACUGAGACACGGCCCAGACUCCUACGGGAGGCAGCAGUGGGGAAUAUUGCACAAUGGGGGAAACCCUGAUGCAGCGACGCCGCGUGGAGGAAGAAGGUCUUCGGAUUGUAAACUCCUGUUGUUGGGGAAGAUAAUGACGGUACCCAACAAGGAAGUGACGGCUAACUACGUG
rnacentral:rRNA from 1 species